UUGGUGUAAUUGCAUGGGUACAAUUGAUGCGCUGAUUCUUUUGAUUUGUACAAGUAUAUAAAUAUUGGUGUAACAGUUGGGGUCACUUUUGUAAAUAAAAUACCCCACCUGGGUUGCACAAGUUUGAAUGUCAUCACCAAAAUUCACUAUAAAAUCCGACCGACUGUCCUCAUAACAAUCACCCACAACAUUUCUGAUGGACCACUGAUGGAACGUUCGGAAUGUGAACAACACGCUUGCAGCUGACGUUAAGUUAUCAACAACCACAGCUGGCACAGAUACAGACACUACCGCUCUCUUUUGGAAAGCUUGUGACGGACAAAAUCUCUGGAAAGGGAUCAAGAGUUGUCUGCAGCCAUCAUUUGUGGAUGAAUAGUCUGACAAAAAUGAGAACAAAGCCUAGCGCCCGAGACGAAGGACAUCAUCUGCCUGGCCGGACACAGUGCCCUUGAUUACACUGCUAGGAGGGCAUUUGUACAACACAGCGGCAGAGUGGAAUGGAGAGCAUUCUGGGAAUACUCGGCUCCCUGGACUCAUUAUUGGAUAAUAGAUUUUCCAGGCAUCAUUGCGGGCGUCUCGUCGGCAGUCCCUGCACACACAUUGCCAGUGGCAGGGGCCAGAGUGACAGGGUCGAGGAGCCACAAAAUCGAAAAAAGCCAAGCUGCAACAAGAGAACAGGGCUGUCCAGCAGGAUCAGUUAUCUUGUGCUUUCCAUGGCCAACAUUGUUUGGACAUAUGGUGCUGUGUAAAUAAUGCCCUGCUCGCGCAUUGACUUUUAUGAUGUUGCUGCAUAACUACCCGAGUUUAUCAUUUCAUAUUAUUCAAAUUUUAUCACAUUGACAUUUGUUAACCCAUAACAAUCAACUAAUUCCCCCUAUUAGGGAGUGUAUGUUCUUCAUAUUCAAUGGAGAUUAUUGCCAACUCAAAAUGGCAGCGAUGCCUUCAUUCAUGGAUCUGUUUCAUACUCAGAAUUUUCUAUUCAGUACAAGAGCUCCAUGAACUGGGAGUUCAUGGUGUCUGUCUCUGAACACUUCUUGGCUUGAAGAAGGCUUAAUUAACAUGUACACAUGUGCUUAUGAGGAAGGAUCUAACAUCUUUUCCUCAGCCGUGGUAUCUCACUUUGGACACAAGUCAGAGACACUGUUUACACUAAACAGGGAGUCUGUUCUAAAUAUACUGCCCUUCUGCCAUAUGCAGUUUACCCAACCAUUUGUGUAUGGGCUCUGCUGUGUCUGUUCACAAGGUAGACACUUCAGGCCCCCUAACAGAAACGCUUGUCGACAGGGCUAGGAGGACACGGGGGGUGGGCUCUGUCCCCUUGCGUUAGCGGCUCACUGACAUGACGACAGGUGCAAGGGCAUCCCGGCCCAGCAGAAUUCACUCUCCAUUCCUGACACACAGUUGGGCUGAACCUCACUGGCUCUCAGACGGGGGUCAUCUUAAGCCAGUCGGGCAGAAGAGCCGUGGAUUAAACAGCACCCCGUUCCCCAAAGAGGGGGAUGUUUCAGUUUGACGGGCUGUACUUUGCGGCCGAGUGGACAGCUCCCACGUCCCGCCGUAGCCCUCUCUCCUGGGUGUGUCAGCCUGUCAGUGCAGAUGGCUGUGAGGAGCAAGGAACUCUCCCAGAACUGAAUCAGAUGCAUGCCCCUGGCCCACCCGUGGGCCCCAAUAAGGUGUCAUCCGCAGUUCAAUGCAUCACGCAGAAGCGGUUUGGGAUUAAACCGACACAUUUGCACCGUGAUAUUUGCCCCCUUUUUCCCCAAGAGUUAACUGACUCACCACCGCAAACAGCCAGGUCCCUCCUCUCAGGAUUGUUGUCAUUCAGUUACCCCAGGGGAAGAAAGGAUGGCUCCUUUCUUAUUUGAUGAGAGAGCCGUGUGAAUCACACCUGUUCACCUAAAUCAAAAUAGUUUUUGAAACAGACACUGUGUAUGCAGUGAAGAUGACACUACGUCUCCUUUUUGUUUUGAAAAUUCAUUUUUCUUUGAAUUGGUAAUGUGAUUCCCGUUCUUUUUGAACUGGGUCCAAUUUGUGUUGCAUUUGAACAGGGUCUCUUCUGGAGAAAAAUGAGGAACCCCUAUUUCAGCUGUUAAUUAUUGUUUGAGAAUGGGCCUCCCAGCCAGACUGAUCAUUGCUGUGCCCUGCAUGGUGUCUAGCGUGUUAAUAUCUUGACUCAUUUGGCACAGUGUGAUCUUUGCACGACUGAGGUGCGUGGUGGGAGUUCAAACAUACCCAUCCGGAUUGAAAAUCGAGCCUGUUAAAUCUAAAGUGAGAGCUUGCUGCUGAGCCACUGGUUUUUCCAGUAUGUUCACAAAGAAAGACUGAGGAUGAGAUUUUCUAAAUGGUUGUGUAUGUGUUCCAUGUGGUAAAAGCCUGUACAAUUCUGUGGGAUUUAAUUACUUGCUUUAAAAGGGGGGAAAUGACAUUAAGAACUAUUAAUCAGGGAUAGCAUCUUUGUGUGCCUUUCCCCUCCAGACAUGAAAAUCCUCAUUUUUCAAAUAUUAGUUUGCAAAUGAAACCUUAGUAAGGUUUUGGGCCGCCACCAAUCCAUCAGAAAAGCUUAGAUGCACCUUGGCAUAGAUUCUACAAGUCUCUUAAACUUUACUGGACGCAUGAAACUCCA